CUCUGAUCGUAGUGGUCUCUGGAGCCAAAUCCCAUUCCACGGCAAUGUUCUGGAUGAACAUUCAUCCCAUCCGUACCACUUACUGGCCGUGUAUCUUGACUCCAGCCACUAUACCACUGAAGCCUCAGUUUCCUCAGCUGCGUAGUGGGACCAAAAAUCUCUGCCUUUCCUACUUCGCAGAGACAGUGACUGGACAAAUUGAGAAGAUGGAUGUAAACAGUAAACAUACAAAUAUCAGUGACUGAUUACCUACUCUGAACCAAGAGCUCUGACAGGCAUUGACUUGUGGAUUUUCCCUGUUCCAAAAUGCCUUCUUCCAGUUAAGUCAAACCUUUCCC
rnacentral:lncRNA from 1 species